rnacentral:rRNA from 1 species
UGGGGAAUAUUGGACAAUGGGGGCAACCCUGAUCCAGCAAUGCCGCGUGUGUGAAGAAGGUCUUCGGAUUGUAAAGCACUUUCGACGGGGACGAUGAUGACGGUACCCGUAGAAGAAGCCCCGGCUAACUUCGUGCCAGCAGCCGCGGUAAUACGAAGGGGGCUAGCGUUGCUCGGAAUGACUGGGCGUAAAGGGCGUGUAGGCGGUUUACACAGUCAGAUGUGAAAUCCCCGGGCUUAACCUGGGAGCUGCAUUUGAUACGUGUAGACUAGAGUGUGAGAGAGGGUUUGUGGAAUUCCCAGUGUAGAGGUGAAAUUCGUAG